AUUAGAUCUGGAGCUCUCGUCCCUGGUUCAGGUUGUUCUUUCUCCCGAUCUCCUCCCAUCCUAGAACGUCCAGAAAUCCUAGCGUCGUCGAGCGGAUGCGGCGUUUGCCCAGCGAGCCGCGCGGUGCCGCCGACGAGGAGUCAUCGUCCUUGAUCUCGCCCUCCUCCCUCUCCUUCGGACCCUCCGAUGCGGGCCGCGUCUCCGUGUCCUCGGCCAUGCCCGCUCGCCGCCGCACGCCCCGUCGGCUGCCCGACACCCGCGCGACCCCGCCCGCUGUCAGAGGCCGUCGCCCUCGCCCGCUGCCGGAGACCCCGGCCCACGGCCGCCGCCCCUCGUCCGUUGCGGGAUACUCGCGAGCGCGCCGCCCGCUCGCCUCGUCCACUGCGUCACAGGGCAACAUCCCUCGGCAGCGCCCCGCUCCCCGUGCUGCCCACCGCGAACCCCGGCCAGUGCGCCCUCCCUUGGCGGCGUCUACGUUUGGGCGAAGUCGAGCCAGCGGGCGUCGUCUGGCUCCCCUCCUCCGGGCGGCCAUGGAGGAGCCAUGCACUGCUAAUAUGUCGGAUGAUGAAGACGAUGGGUGAUCGUGAUGGUGACACCCAGAGCUAGAAGGCCACGAGGAGUUCAAUAUGAGAUGUUAGUAUUCACGUCUGCUCUACAUAAUUCUGCAACUGUAUGCGUAUGAGUACUAAUCAAACCAAAAAGUACCAAUAUUUAUUUUAUUUGUGAAGCAAUAAUGGUAUGAAGAAUAUCUGCUAUUGCCGGCGUGUUGUCUUUGUAGCAGCUCAUUGAGAAGUUAGGCUUUAAUAAUGUGACUGAUAAGCCAGCUGCACUUAAAAUGAUGAGAGAUGUAUGUGAAUCUGUUCUUGAAUCCUACGAAAGGAAGCAAAGCUAGCACAUAGUGGUGGUGAUAUCUUGAUGAGUUACAGAGCGGCCUUGCGGAGGCAGCUUGGGAAGGUUAACAAGGGAUUGCAUUGGAAUUAUUUCUGAUUAAGUAUUAGCUCUGGAUUACCACUGUUUUUGGUGUUAGUCCAGCUGUACUGGUGCCAUAACUACACUAUCUGGGUUGGCACUUCAGUUGAAUUCUGGAUUUAUUCUUUUGGUCUGGUUCUCUCCUUAUGAUUGUCUUCUAUGGUGUGGGACUUGAUAAAGCUUGGAGAUUAUGUUAGUGCAAGGGACGAUGUCGAUACCUCUAGGAUAGGGAUUGCUGGUUAAUCACUCGGAGGAAUGCAUGCAUGCUUUGCUGCUUUUGUGGAUACACGGUACAAUGUUGUUCUUCCAAUAAUUGGUGUUCAGGGAUUUCAAUGGGCAGUAGAUAAUGACAUGUGGCAAGCUAGAGUUGAUAGCAUUAAGCAUUUAUUUGAAGAAGCAAGAAUUGAUUCAGGGAAGAGUGAAAUAGAUGCAGAGGUUGUGAAAAAGGUUUGGGACAAGAUAGCACCUUCUAUGGCUUAACAGUUUGAUGCUCCCUACUCAGUUCCUCUGAUUGCACCAUGUCCACUCCUCCUAAAUGGUGCUGACGACCCUCGUUGCCCAGUCCUUGGUCUACAAGAACCUGCCUCCAAAGCUGCUGAGGCUUAUGCAGAAGCUGGUUCUGCGGAUAAGUUCAAGGAUCCAAAGAACUAGCUCGAGUGGACUCUAGAGCACGAACAAUUUAGUCUUGGCAAUUGAUUAGGAUGGCUAAAUUACAUUUGAGUUUCAUUUGAUGGAUAUUUGCUAUCAGAAUUAUGAAUUUUAUGAAUCUACAUAUUAUAUGUAUGAUUUUGAAUAUUGUAAUUGAAUGCUUGUAUUUUUUUAGGUUGCAAUAGGCUGUUGCCACAACCCACUUUUGGUUGCCACUUGUUAGCUCCACGAAAAUUUAAA